CACGCCGUAAACGAUGGGUACUAGGUGUGGGUAGUUCACUCUAUCCGUGCCGCAGCAAACGCAUUAAGUACCCCGCCUGGGGAGUACGGCCGCAAGGUUAAAACUCAAAGGAAUUGACGGGGGCCCGCACAAGCAGCGGAGCAUGUGGUUUAAUUCGAAGCAACGCGAAGAACCUUACCAGGGCUUGACAUCCUCGGACGACACUAGAGAUAGUGUUUUCUCUUCGGAGACUGAGAGACAGGUGG
rnacentral:rRNA from 1 species